GCAGUUGUAGUUCAGCGGUAGAAUUCUUGCCUUCCACGCUGGAGACCCAGGUUUGAUUCCUGGGCAAUGCA
rnacentral:tRNA from 1 species